rnacentral:rRNA from 1 species
UACCGAGGUCCCAAGCGUUGUUCGGAUUCAUUGGGCGUAAAGGGUGCGUAGGCGGCGCGGUAAGUCGGGUGUGAAAUCUCGGAGCUUAACUCCGAAACUGCAUUCGAUACUGCCGUGCUUGAGGACUGGAGAGGAGACUGGAAUUUACGGUGUAGCGGUGAAAUGCGUAGAUAUCGUAAGGAAGACCAGUGGCGAAGGCGGGUCUCUGGACAGUUCCUGACGCUGAGGCACGAAGGCCAGGGGAGCAAACGGG